rnacentral:rRNA from 1 species
AUCUUCCGCAAUGGACGAAAGUCUGACGGAGCAACGCCGCGUGAGUGAUGAAGGUUUUCGGAUCGUAAAACUCUGUUGUUAGGGAAGAACAAGUACCGUUCUAACAGGGCGGUGCCUUGACGGUACCUAACCAGAAAGCCCCGGCUAACUACGUGCCAGCAGCCGCGGUAAUACGUAGGGGGCAAGCGUUGUCCGGAAUUAUUGGGCGUAAAGCGCUCGCAGGCGGUCUUUUAAGUCUGAUGUGAAAGCCCACGGCUCAACCGUGGAGGGUCAUUGGAAACUGGAGGACUUGAGUACAGAAGAGGAGAGUGGAAUUCCACGUGUAGCGGUGAAAUGCGUAGAGAUGUGGAGGAACACCAGUGGCGAAGGCGACUCUCUGGUCUGUAACUGACGCUGAGGAGCGAAAGCGUGGGGAGCGAACAGG